CUUUCGUGACUUUAAAAUUCUUUUCCAACUUAUUUUUCAACUCGAAUUUGCUGCCUUUGUCAGCAAAUUCUGUACUAUUGCAGAUGCUGAAACUUGGAUGAGAUAUAAUCUGGAACCGCGGCUUUUGUCCGAUUGAUCUCUGCCAGUCGACCAGGCUUAAUCCCUAUCCUUCACUAUUUGAUGCAUAAUUUAUCUGCUUAAGACGCUUCCCUCCCCCAAAUUACAAAAUCGUAGAAAGGUUGCUCAUUGCAGGACGAUCCAACACUCCAACCUGAUGCUGUAGCUGGGUUAUAUCUGUUUGCAGAUAUUCUAAACCUACCUUCUCCAUUCAUUCAAAACUUAACCUAUAUAAAAUAGUCAUGCGGAGGCAAUAUAUGAACUCACAGAUUGAUUUGCAGAUGUGCAAGAUUAGAAGUGCGCUCUGGAGCUUCAAUCUAGACGUCUCAACCUACAACCCCCCAAAAAAACUCAUUAUACUCUAUUAAAUCUCUUAAAAGCUCUUAUUUUAAGCCUUUAUUAAAAUUUCCGCUUUGCCUGAGUUGCUUAUUGCUCGUAGCUUCGAUUCGAGUUUUAUGGCCUCUGCCUUUCUGUGCCUGCUGUUAGCCACAUGAAAUCUGUUAUACUUUGGUUUGCAAUCCAUCCAUCCAUGGUUUAUCUUAAUAAAUGCUUCUCUUUGUGUUCUUCUGUGCUUGGAACUUUGGAUAACGAGUCCCUCAAUUUAAUUUCUUCGUAUGCACAUAUCAAUUUUAGUCUACAACAAUAUUUGUGAUUUAGAUUUUUGUUGGUGGUUCUCCAGAAAUUGGAAUUCUAGAGCUCAAUGGAAGGUCGUAUUUUGCUUCAAGAUGUGGCUGGCACUUCCUACUGAGUUUGGAUAAUUGAGUCCCUGGAUUUAAUUUCUUCGUCCGACAUUCACUUAGUCUCCAACAUUUCUGAUUUGGAUUUGUUGGUGGUUCUCCGGAAGUUGGAAUUGUACAGCUUCGCAGCUCUAGUUUGCUUCAGCAUGGCCCGCACCUCUCUCUCGCCUCCUAGCGUUUACACAAACUGUUUCCCUGUCUCAGAUGGCUUUUGUAUGUGUUUUUAGGCCAACCUGAUGGAGCACUCUAAUUAGAUGCAGGACGGAGUCGCAGAUGAACGAAGUUCUGCAGAGAUGAGCCGAAUGGUGGAGGUUUUGCGUUCGUAGUUAUUUUGAUUGGUUGGGUUCAACGAUUGUUUUGUUCAAAGCGUCUGAAAUGAAGUUCUGGUGUUAUAUUGAAGCUAGAUCGGAUCGAUUUGCGACCUACGAAUGGGGAAUUGUAGAGCUUAGCGGGAGAACCUAUCUUGCUUCAGUCGGAUACUCGGUUCCCUUUCCAACCUGCAACUUAUUUGUGUUUGGAUAGUCAAUCUCAAUCCCCUUCGAUUUACUUUCGUCUCUGGUGAUUCUGAUUUGUAUUCACUGGUGAUCCUACAGAAAUUGGAAUUAUACAGCUUAGAGGGAGAUUCUAUUUUGCUUCAGUAGGAUCGCUUUUCAACCUGCAACCUGAUAUAUGUUUGGAUAAUAAAUUUCAACCUCCAUUAUAUUAAAUUUCUUCCGUAUGCACAGUACAAUUUCAUCUCUAGAUAUUCUGAUUUGGAUUUGCUGGUGGUUCUACAGAAUUUUGAAUUAUACAGCUUUGGAGGAGAUCCUAUUUCGCUUCAGCAAGGGCAUUCCCUUCUGUGUUUGGAACUUUGGAUAAUGAGUCCCUCAAACUAAUUUUUUCGUUUGCACAUAUCAAUUUUAGUCUACAACAAUAUUUCUGAUUUAGAUUUUUGUUGGUGGUUCUCCAGAAAUUUAAAUUCUAGAGCUCAAUGGAAGGUCGUAUUUUGCUUCAAGAUGGGGCUGGCACUUCCUUCCGAGUUUGGAUAAUUGAGUCCCUAGAUUUAAUUUCUUCGUCUGACAUUCACUUAGUCUCCAACAAACAACAGUUAUGAUUUGGAUUAGUUGGUGUUUCUCCGUAAGUUGGAAUUGUACAGCUUCGUGUUCUAGUUCGCUUCAGCAUGGUCCCGAUGGUUCCUUUUCGUGACUCAACCAUUCCCAUUUCUUCUAUUAUUGAAUUUCCAAAUAUUACCUUACUCGGUAAUUCUCAGCUUCUUGCAGAUACUGGCUUGAAGAGACAUAAUUGCAGUUCGGAACCGGUGUUAUUAUUAUCAGACCUUCCCAGCCAUGUCAAACUUUAUUUCCCCAUCACUUUUAUGCAUUCUUUAGCUGUUUAAGCAGCACAACUUCCCUCACAUUUUUUUUUUACAAAAGGUCUUCCUCAUUGCAGGUCAUAUUUAACGAGUUCAAGUUGAACCUAAUUCUGAUUUGAUUGAUCUGCAAAGGUGGACCUUUCUAAGGAUGAUCUGGAGCUACUAAUGGAUGAUACUAUCCUACAACAGAAAAACUUGGCUCUAUUCUUAUCUCUGACACUCUAAUUUCGAGUAUUUUGUUCUGUUUUUACUUUGUUUAGCUGCUUUACAUAGCUUUGAUUUCGGUUUUUGCCUAAUACCCUUACAGUGGUUGCAGAUUUUGCCCAGGCCAUGCUUGAGUUACUCGAAAUCUGUUGGAUGGUUUGCGCUUUCUCUCUGGUUCAGUUUAUUGUUUGUAUUCCCGACCCGCCUUGUUGGUUGUAGGUUAUGGAGUUCCAUGAACCUAUAGCAGAAUCUGUGCUCUUCUAGUGGAGACAGGUCAGUCACAGUUGUUUGGUUCAUUUGUGUUCGCCACAUCCACGCUUAGUUCCAGGAAACUACAUCUGAUCUGGAAAUGUGCUCUUCCCAUGUGGAGUCAGGUCAGUCACGGUUAUUCGGUUCAUGGUUCAUUUGUGUUGUGCUGCCUCCAUGCGUCUGUUGCAGGAUAUUAGAUCUGGUCUGGAACUGCUUGUGGUAUGUUGAUCAAAUGAGGUUGAUCAUGAGGUGCAUUUGAGGCUUUGUGUUGGUUCUUAUCGUAACAACUGAUCUUGCUUGUGGUAUUUUGUCUGUGCUCCUUCAAAUGCAGGAGGUGCUGGUUGUGGAUGCAUGAGUCAAAGGGUUGAGGUUUGCUUACUGUUCAUUCUUAUUUUUAUUGGCUAUGGUUCAGUAGAUCUGUGAGCUGGUGUUGGAUUCAUGCUGAAUUGGAUCGUUGACCAUAGGUCGGAUAACAUGAACUUGCUUGGAUAACCACCCCACCUCUUUGUCUGCAAAGUUCAAUAUUGGUAUAUGAUAAAUCUGAUCUGUAUCGUUGGUUGUCCAGAAAAUUGGACUUAGAUGACACUCCAGGAUGUCUUAUUUUCCUACCGCAUGUUACCAGCAGUUCCUUUCGUGACUUCAACAAUCUUUUCCAACUUAUUUUUCAACUCGAAUUCGCUGCCUUUGUUAGUAAUUCGGUGCUAUUGCAGAUGCUGAAACUUGGAUGAGAUAUAAUCUGGAACCACUGCUUUUGUCUGAUUGUUCUCUGCCGGUCUACCAGGCUUAAUCCCUGUCCUUCACUAUUUGGUGCAUGAUUUAUCUGCUGAAGCAGCUUCCCUCCCCCAAAUUACAAAAUCAUAGAAAGGUUGCUCAUUGCAGGUCCUAGCUGACGAUCCAACACUCCAACCAACCUGAUGUUGUACCUGGGUUAUAUCUGUUUGCAGAUAUUCUGAACCUACCUUCUCCAUUCGUUCAAAACUUAACCUAUAUGAAUGCAGAGUCAAUAUAUGAACCCACAGAUUGAUUUGCAGAUGUGCAAGAUUAGAAGUGCGCUCUGGAGCCUCAAUCUAGACGUUUUCGUGGCCUCAUCUCCUUCCCAUGUUUUGCAUGUUUUUUUGUUGUCGAGCGGCUUUCUUCAAAAUGGUUUAGAUCACAGACUUCGUUCAUUGCAGGCCUAGUUGAUAAUUCUCCAAGAGGAAUUAAUCUAGUCAUGCAUGCUUCGUUUGUUAGAGAACCAAUUACUUGUAUCUUAGCUGUUACAAGUGAAGUAAUCUCAGAGGAAAGGCUUGAUUAGAAAGUCGUAAUAUCCAGCAUGGAGAAGUUUCCCACAACUGUCAUAAAUUUUUUAUUGGCGUCCAGCAACUGGAGUUUUAAGUAUGGAUUGUGGACUAGAGCUUUCCAUAUGUGGAUUUAUUCAAUGGAUUUCUUCUCAUGACAAGUGAUCAAUUCAGACUCGCAUCUUUAAUAUGUUCAGAAGCAGCUUACAUUUGCAUAUCUCAACACCAUUAAGAUGUGCAUGCUCCGUGACCGUGACAGUCUUUCAGUAUACCUGAGAAGUUCUUCAAAAAUGAUAGGAAAAUCUUUGAGAUAAACUCUUGCUCAAUUCCUGGUCAUCUUGGAAAAGAAUCUGAACGGGCUGAGAAAUUCGUUCACAAACUCACUUAAUCCCACUCCUUUUGUUGACUUGCUGCCACUAUUAUCUGAAUUCAUAUUUUUUCAAUUCAGUGGCAUGAAGAACUUGAUUACUGUGCACUGUGUAAAUGUAGAGUUAUAUGGAUUGCUUUACAGAAGUUGGAAACUCUGGCUUUCAUCUUGAGCAUUAGCAGUCCUGUUUCUGAUGAUAUUUUUCAUUCCUAGGAAUGUUUCAGAUUGUUGGCAGCACAGUGUUCUCCAGAGAAUGAAUAAGUUGGCUUGGUGUCUUGAAGUCAGAUAUCUGAUCAUCAAUGUCCUUUUUCGUGCCUGUUGCUCAAUUUUUUGUUCUUAUUAUCUGAUCAGGAUUAACUUGUUCAUGACAUAGGAGAUUUUUAUUUACCACAUAGGAGACUGCCUUAGAGUCUUUGAUCUCCCAUAUUAAUUUAUCCAUUUGUUGCAUCCCGUACUUUCUCUAUACAACCAGCUAGUAUAUUAUUCAAGCGAAGUCUGAGAUGAAUAAUUAUUUUGUUUUGUUCAUGCCUAAAGUUCAUACUUCUGUAUCUGUUCUUAUCUGGUCAGGUCUACAUUAUGCAUCUAGCUUAGUACGGCAUUGGUUGCACCAUAAGACCAGCUUUCGCUCUUCAGCAUUUUUUUUAUCAAUCUAUCUAAACAAUCGUGAACUCUAGUUGAUAGUGUUAUAUGCACCUUUGGUUGUGAUUUUGCAAGGUUUUUUUUGCUGUUCCUUUCCUUUCUCAACUAUGGUUCGUUCGGUUCGUCCCGAAGCACAUUUAUUUGAUCCUUUCUAUCACAAACGAUUUGAAGGUACUGUGGAUGUCAAUCUAUUAUGAUGUGUGAUGGAAUUGGUAGACCCUGAGUCUCUAAUUCCAUUCCAGUUUAAUACUCCCCAUAAUAAGUGUCUUGGAUUUAGUACAAAGUUGUAGUCCCUCCGAUACAUAAAAUUUGUCUUGGAUUUGGUACCAAGUUGUACACUUUUUAUGGAUCAGAGGGAGUACAACUUUUUACUAAAUCCAAAGUUGUACACUUUUUAUGGAUCGGAGAGAGUAGUUUAUAUCUGACUUCCUUUCAAGAAUUGUGAUUGGUCUGUUCAUCAAUUUGUUCUUAGUGGAAGACUCUAGGUGGAAGGUCUAGCGAAACUUCGGUUAGCAGAGGGCUUUGGUGAAGCUUGGAGUUAUCAACCAUGUUUGCUCACUUGACUGUUCUGACUUCUGAUUUGUGAUCUUGAAAUUACUUUAUUUGGUCAUUGAUCCGUUCUUAGUGGAAGACUCCAGUUGGAAGGUCUAGUAAAAAAGUCAGUUAGCUAUCGUGUUUGCUUACCUGACUGUUCUGACUUUUGAUUAGUGAUCUUGAAGUUACUUGAUGUGGUCUUUGGCAACUUACAGUUCCAAUUCGUCAGUGGCCUGAUCUCCUUGCGCAUUUUAGAGUCAUUAUGGUAUGGCAUGAGGUAUCUGCUUCAGUUUGCGUGCGGUUUGGAUGGAAGCUGAUCUCAUCUGAUUUCACAAUGCCUUUGCCGGUCCCAAGCCCGGAUGAGAAAAUGUGGAGGGAACUCCUUUCAGCAUUUUCAUGGUCUCCAAAUAUUUUCAAUCGAGUAAUAGUGGAUGAAGUUCCAUUCUUAAACUUCACGUAAUGUGGAAGCAUAUGGUUCAAACUUUGGAAUGCACCUUGCCGUGAUGGGAAUCAAAAUUUAUUUAUUCCCAAGGUAAGUGGUCACAGUUAGAACUGAACUCCAGGAAGUGACUGAUUCCUUUCUGAAGAUGUAACAUUAGUGUAAGGCAUUACAUAGCAGGCCUCAUCUAAGGUUCAAGAACCGUAUAUAUACUUUCCUUUUGAGUUCUUUUAUUGCUAUAAAUGUCUAUUGCUGUCAAUGUUCUUAUACUCAUUGGCAAGCAGAACUCCCGCAUUGUUUGAUGGCCAGUAUGUGCUUUCGAUCUAGCAUACUGGGUGCUGCUAGGCAAGCCUGUUCCUUUGAUCCCAUAUUCUUCAUUCUUAAUUUGAUGCUGGAACUUACUCUAGCAUACUGAGUAAUGUCUUCAAACUUUGGAUAAUUCAAGAAUGAGCGACAGUUAUGAUUAUCUUGAUCCUUUUGAUCCGGCUUUUUGCAACUCAGCAGCAAAAUACCCUUUGUCGGUCCUAAUUCUAAACUCUGCUAGUUCUUCUAUUUUUCACUUGCUGUAUGGGAUGAUACAA